rnacentral:misc_RNA from 1 species
AAGUCGUAACAAGGUAACCGUAGGUGAACCUGCGGUUGGAUCAUUAUUGAUUUUUAUCCAUUUUUUUUUAAAAGAGUUGCCUUGCCUUCGGGCAGCAUUAUUCUGAUACUAGUUGUCUGAGUAUACUUUAAUAAAUCAAAACUUUCAACAACGGAUCUCUUGGUUCUG